rnacentral:misc_RNA from 1 species
GUGAAUCAUCAAAUCUUUGAACGCAAAUUGCACUCUCUUCGGAGAGUAAGCCUGUUUGAGGGUCAGUAUUAGUAAAAAUCGGUUUGGUGCUUCUUUGUGACGCUGCGGAGUUGGGGUCAUCUUAAUACCCUUUAGGUUCUAAGAGGCUUAUUAUUGACUUUGUUUGCGCAUCUUAGAUGUACAUAUAUUCUUUUUUUUAUUCGUCUGUCUUAAUGCUCAAAAUCCUAUUAGAUGCCAUCAUAUCGUGUGGUUU